rnacentral:rRNA from 1 species
CGAAUGCUGACAUAAGUAACGAUAAAGCGGGUGAAAAGCCCGCUCGCCGGAAGACCAAGGGUUCCUGUCCAACGUUAAUCGGGGCAGGGUGAGUCGACCCCUAAGGCGAGGCCGAAAGGCGUAGUCGAUGGGAAACAGGUUAAUAUUCCUGUACUUGGUGUUACUGCGAAGGGGGGACGGAGAAGGCUAUGUUGGCCGGGCGACGGUUGUCCCGGUUUAAGCGUGUAGGCUGGUUUUCCAGGCAAAUCCGGAAA